rnacentral:rRNA from 1 species
CCUACGGGAGGCAGCAGUGGGGAAUUUUCCGCAAUGGGCGAAAGCCUGACGGAGCAAGACCGUGUGAGGGAGGAAGGCCCUUGGGUUGUAAACCUCUUUUGUCAGGGAAGAACACAAUGACGGUACCUGACGAAUCAGCCUCGGCUAACUCCGUGCCAGCAGCCGCGGUAAUACGGAGGAGGCAAGCGUUAUCCGGAAUUAUUGGGCGUAAAGCGUCCGCAGGUGGCUAUUCAAGUCUGCUGUCAAAGACCGGGGCUUAACCCUGGAAAGGCGGUGGAAACUGAAUGGCUAGAGAGAGGUAGGGGUAGAGGGAAUUCCCAGUGUAGCGGUGAAAUGCGUAGAGAUUGGGAAGAACACCGGUGGCGAAAGCGCUCUGCUGGACCUCAUCUGACACUAGAGGACGAAAGCUAGGGGAGCGAAUGGGAUUAGAUACCCCAGUA